UGAGGAACAUGACUUUCGGCGGGGGAUAGCCGGCCCAACGGCCGGGUAAUACCGCGUACGACCACUUGGGGACAUCCUCGAGUGGUGAAAGCAGCAAUGCGCCGAUGAAGUGCCUCGCGGCCUAUCAGCUAGUUGGUGGGGUAACGCUCACCAAGGCAACGACGGGUAGCUGGUCUGAGAGGAUGGCCAGCCACAUUGGGACUGAGAUACCGGCCCAGACCUCCGUACGGGAGCAG
rnacentral:rRNA from 1 species